GAUGAACGCUGGCGGCGUGCCUAAUACAUGCAAGUCGAGCGAACAGACGAGGAGCUUGCUCCUCUGACGUUAGCGGCGGACGGGUGAAUAACACGUGGAUAACCUACCUAUAAGACUGGGAUAACUUCGGGAAACCGGAGCUAAUACCGGAUAAUAUAUUGAACCGCAUGGUUCAAUAGUGAAAGACGGUUUUGCUGUCACUUAUAGAUGGAUCCGCGCCGCAUUAGCUAGUUGGUAAGGUAACGGCUUACCAAGGCAACGAUGCGUAGCCGACCUGAGAGGGUGAUCGGCCACACUGGAACUGAGACACGGUCCAGACUCCUACGGGAGGCAGCAGUAGGGAAUCUUCCGCAAUGGGCGAAAGCUUGACGGAGCAACGCCGCGUGAGUGAUGAAGGUCUUCGGAUCGUAAAACUCUGUUAUUAGGGAAGAACAAAUGUGUAAGUAACUAUGCACGUCUUGACGGUACCUAAUCAGAAAGCCACGGCUAACUACGUG
rnacentral:rRNA from 1 species